ACUUGCUUUGCGACACUUUUCACUGGAACACGGCAGACGGAGGAUCCGGGGGAGUUGUAGUUUUGAAAGAAAGAAAGAAAGUUUCUGACUCUCGAAGAACAAACUGGUCUCCACCAGUUCGUCCGUCGACCAGAGGAAGGAAGCGUCGCUUUCUGCGACACCGACCACAUCGUCUGUCCACCGGAUGUCGAUAGAAACAUCGCUGGAGUGGCUCAUGAGCUAGCCAGUUAGCAUGUAGCUUGUGUGAAGUAAAGCGCCCGCGCCGCUUGCAGUUGCCUAGCGACCAGGGGCAGCGGAGAGAGCUAGCUAGCAUCGAUAGCACCAGGUUUAUUAACUACGUUUGUGUUCUGCCAAACGGCGACUAGUGGAAAGUCACGUGUUGAAGUAUAAACGGACAGUUGCUGUGACGUCAAGUCAGAAAACCAGUGACGCUGAAGAGAAUCACGAGAAAGAAACUGGUCCGGGAAACAGUGAAGCUCCGCCCCCGGGGGGAGGUCAUCGCCAAAUUCAAACGCAGUGGUUUUUGAGGGACGACCCCCAACAAUGACAACCUGUUUGGUUCCACCCAGUGAAAUCAAAGACACACACUGUGCGACCACAUAGAAAAGGUUUUUCAGAGACUCGGGUUUCACUCCUCCGUCAGAUGGCGUUCUGCCUGGCUGAGCUGCACUUGUGGUCGACCAAGAGCUCACUCCAAGUUAAAGCAAACAUACAGAUCCAGCAGACAUGGACCAGCAGGGGCAUCUCACCAAGUUAUACAGAUAUUGGCACCUAUCAGUUCUACGAUAAAGGCGAGCCAGCCACUUCCCUGGAGCAUCACUACUAUCAUGAGAAACUCCACUUCUGUGAUGCUCGAGGCUAUUCGUGGACCCCCGUGAACCGCCGACCAGAGAAGCUCCGUGAUUCGCUGAAGGAGUUGGAGGAGCUGCUGCAGACCAACACCUGUGUUCACACCAGAUGGCGAAACAAACAUUGCUGCCAGUUGAUGCUGAGCAGUGGAGUGCUGGUGACUCUGACCCUACAUGGACCUCAACUUGAACAAGUGUGUGUAGAUCGCACACUAGUGGGGCGACUCCCAGCCAACACCGUCACUGAUGCGGUGCUGAGCGACAGGCUGAUCCUGCUCUCCUUCCUGGAGCAGAGCCAGGUGGCCGCGGUCUACGUCAACAAGAAGAACCAGGACGACUCCCCGGAGGGCGGCAGGCGCCCGGACAAACUCUCGCCCUCGGAAAUCAAGGUGGUGUGUGCGGACGUGGGCGCGCCGGGUCGUCGGCUCCGCAGACACGUGGAUCUGAACCGUCUGCAGGACCUGGCGCUCUGCUGGUGGAAGCUGGACGAGCCCGGCGAGGAGCCGUGGCCCUGGACCCCCACCGACAUGCACAGGAACAACCUGGUGCUGCUCAGCUGCUCGCCCACCGAGGGCCUCAAGGUCCUGGGCUCUGUGCGGACCGAAGGCGACCCCCUGCACUGCCACUUCAGCCUGCUCCAGCCCCACCAGCUGCUGACCGUGGAGCUGCCCGUCGGACCCCCCGGUGCCGGAGAAGGGUCCCGGGCCGACACCUGCGUGUACGAAUGCGCUCGAGGGCGCCUGCGCCGCCUGUCCGUCACCCGCGUCCCGCUGCCCUGCCGCCCCCUCUCCUGCUCACGUCACCCCUCCGAAGCCGCGCUCCUCCUGGGCCUGAGCGACUCGUCCUUGGUGCUGUACGACCAGCGGCGAGGGCUCUCUCUCUGGGCCUCCUGCCCCGUGCCACCCGACCUCCUGGCCUGGCACCCCGCCGGAGCCGUGGUGGUGGUCGGGGGAGGCAAGGGAGAGCUGAUGUGCUUCGAUGUGGGCAUGGCACCUGUGAACGUGGCGCUGGUGGCGGAGGAGGUGGCGGCUGCAGCCUCCACACUGAGGCUUCCUCAGCACCUGCGCUGCUCUGGAGGUCUGGAGGGUCUGUGGUGGGCCGCGGGCCUGGAGGGGACGGACACGCUGAUGUUGGCCUUUCAUGGAGGACCACUGGCAGCCUUGAGAUUCAGACUAGGGGCUCUGACCGGGGGCCAGCUGGGUCCAGAGGAGGUUCUGCGACAGCGGCUGCGGUGCGGUCGGGUCCGAGAGGCGCUGGGCGUCCUGGAGUCCCUGGACUGGAGCGUCGCGGGCGACGAGUGCUACCGCUGCCUGAGCUCGGUGGUCGACUUCCUGCUGAGGCUGCGGCUGAACGCUGAGAGGGAGGUCCAACUGGAGGCAGCUCUGGGCGUGUUCUAUUCGCCGCCCGCCCCUCUCUCUGACGCGGUGAUGCUGGAGUACAGGGGGCCAAUCGGCAAGUACGCCCGCCGCUUCUUCCACCACCUCCUCAGACACCAGCGCCUGGAGAAGGCCUUCCUCCUCGCCAUCGAUUUAGAGGCCAGAGAUUUAUUCAUGGACCUCCAUUAUGUUGCCGGUGAUAAGGGCGAGCUGGUGCUCGCCGACGUGGCCAAGAGGAGAGCGAAUGAAAUACAGGCCCAGGUCGCCGCGGGCAACGCUGAAGUUGCACGACAGAGAACCGACCCUCCUCGUCCGGAGGAGCAGGAGCGAUCUGGGCCAUCGCCACCCGGGUUUAUGUCGUUUCACUUCGUGGAGAACUGUAAAAAUUGAGCUGAUUUGCAUUUGAAAGCAGAAACAGUGGAAAGAGGAGCACGUCUCUGGAUAUUGUCUCAACGAUUCUUCACUUGUUUCCUCUCAAAAGAAGCAGAAGACUCAGCACCAGAUGGAGCGAUGUGUUCCAGCAGCAGCGGGUCGGUGGAAUCACGUUGGGCAGAGCCGCCGUGUUUUUUUUCCACGCACCUCUUCUCGUAUUCAUGCGCGUCCAUUGUCAACCCUGAUGAACACAGAUUCGUACACACACACGUCCACACAAUGGAGGACACACAUCUCAGCUUAGAGACGGUUCCUCUUUCAUGACGGGCGCUGGAAAAUGGCUCGUAGCUGUCUGGCUGACAAGUGUGUUGAUGUGGAUAGAUACGGCAUUGUGAGAGGCAGAGUGGCGAACAAGUGCGAGGGAAGGCCUCUUUCUCUCCUUCUCCUUUUCUUCUGAGGAGCGUUCCAGGAGGAGAAGCCAAGUUCGGUUGCCCGAUCGUUGCCGUCUCCCCCUCACAAAGCGAGGAUGUGACUGUGGGGCCUUUCAGUGGGCAAGGAGACAAGAGCUUUAUCUGAAGAUCCACUUCUCCACCUCCUCAAGCUCUCUCUCUCCUUCUCCCUCGCCGUGGUGAUAAAAGCCUGUUAGCUCCGAUCUUCUGAGAGGCAGAAGUGACGUGUGUGGGUCCGACCCCGGCGACAGAC